GACAGAGGGUGCAAACGUUGUUCGGAAUUACUGGGCGUAAAGCGCGUGUAGGCUGCUUUGCAAGUCGGGUGUGAAAGCCCCUCAGUCAACUGAGGAAGUGCGCCCGAAAACUCAGAGCUUGAGUGCCGGAGAGGGUGGCGAAUUCCCCAAGUAGAGGUGAAAUCGUAGAUAUGGGGAGGAACACCGGUGGCGAAGGCGGCCACCUGGACGGUAACUGGACGCUGAGACGCGAAACGUGGGGAGCAACAGG
rnacentral:rRNA from 1 species